UUUAAACCCUAAAUAGAAUAAAUUCUCAUAUUA
rnacentral:tRNA from 1 species